GAACAUCCGGCAACCCGAGAACAUCCGGUACCUACACCGGCGAAAAAGCCGCUGGGUGAGGCCAGCAGUUCUCGUGCCUCAUGUGGGAUUGUGACGCUAAAAAAUACUAGAAGAAGUGAUAGCAAGCGCCAAGUCAUUUUCUUCAGAAGGAGCGGCGUAUGGACUUUAUUUACAAGUAAAGCUCUAAAGCGGAUUCAAACCUACAGAAACACAACUGGACAGACUCUCAGCACUGGUCUUGAUGGAACAGAAAAGGACGUCUGGAUGGAACUGAAGACCAUAAUCUGCAUGACAGGGUGACGGACUGUUUUUCAGGAAUUUUGUCUUCAAAUAAUCUGAUUUUUGGAUUUCCCUGGAGAACUUCUCCGUGCUGAUGGCAAUCUGAUGGGGAACUUUAAGCACAGCAGCUGAGUCAAAGGAGGGUAAAACUCCACUGACCCUGGGGUAUAGACAACAACACUCAUCCCUCUCCUUCUGUCAAGGCAACAGCGCCAAACAACAGGAACAAAUCAGAACACAGGCCAGUCUGGUGACGUGCACGAACAUCUCUUUUUCAUCUUCUUAGCUGCACCGUCUGCAGGAGAAACGCCUGCUGGACUUGGCUGCACCAUCCAUCAUGACAAAAGGAAAAAUACUGUAUUUAUGGGGCAGGCGCUUCACUUCAUACCCUGCAGAACUCUGGUUCUGUUUACUGUCCUGGAACCGAUGUUCUGCUGUGUUUUCAUUUGCUCUUCUUAAAUAACAAAGAUGCACAGCUUGAUGAUUGUUGGAGCAUUAUGGGUACUGUAGUCAGGAGAGUUUGUGACGUUAGCGUGACAGUUGUGAGCGUUUUCAUUCAAGUCUUAAUUCGACUGAGGAAGUCGUUCCUCAUCGUCACUAAAUGAACAGUUUUCUUUUCUUUGUCCAAAUAUUCACAAACUUUCUGUUCUGUGUUUUUUAUGUGUGAAACAAGUUUAAAUUAAAAGUACCAAAACACAAUUAAGGCCUUCUCUCACCGUAUGCAGCAAACAUCAAAUCAGUCAAAAAUGGUUAAUUCUUCAUCUUUUAAUCCAUUUCUGCAGAAUUCCGUUUGUGUUUUUAAUAAUGAAUUUUAUUUUAUUUAUAUGGCGCUUUUCUAGACACCCAAGGUCGCCUUACAGAUAGAGAACAAUAAAAUACAGUUAAAAGAAAGACACAUUAGUUAAAAACAAUCAAGACAUUGUAAUCAUAAAAUUAAUUAGGGUGGGUAUGCUUUUCUGAAGAGGUGGGUUUUCAGAUUUUUAGGAAACUGUGGGAGUGAGUUCAUGUUCCGCAGACCUGAGGGAAGUGAGUUCCAGAGCUGGGGGGCAGAGCGGCUGAAUGCUCUGCCCCCCAUAGUGACGAGCCGAGCGGUGGGUGUAGCAAGCUGGAGUGAAGAGGUAGACCUAAGGGAGCGGGUGGGAAUGGCAACAUGGAUAAGGUCAGACAGAUAUGGGGGGGCGAGGUUAUGGAGGGCUUUGUAGGUCAAGAUAAGGAUUUUAUAGUUAAUCCGGAAAGACACUGGUAGCCAGUGAAGCUUUUGUAGAACAGGUGUGAUAUGCAGAUUGGAGGGGGUUUAUGUUCUGAUCCGGGCAGCAGAGUUUUGGAGCAGUUGUAGUUUGUGAAUGGUUUUGUAAGGGAGUCCGGAUAAAAGGGAGUUGCAGUCGUCCAGACGAGAGGUUCUGAGACUGUGGACUAGAAUGGCUGUGGAGUGAGGACUGAGAGAGGGGCGGAGACGGCGGAUGUUUCGGAGGUGGAAAUAGGCCGACCGGGUGAUGCUAUUUAUGUGGGCAGUAAAGGAGAGAGUGCUGUCAAGGAUGACACCCAGACUCUUAACUUGUGGGGAGGGAAGGAUGGAGCAGUUAUCGAAGGAAAUGGAGAAGUUAGGGAGUUUAUUUAGGGUGGUCUUUGUUCCUACGAUGAGGAGUUAAGUUUUGUUACUAUUUAAUUUAAGGAAGUUUGCAGUGAACCAGGACUUUAUUUCAAGAAGGCAUUUGGAGAGGGAGGCGUGUGGAAGAGUGGAGUCAGGCUUGGAGGAGAGGUAGAGCUGGGUAUCAUCUGCAUAGCAGUGAAAGUGGAUGUUGUGUUUACGGAAGAUAUAACCAAGGGGAAGAAGGUAAAUGAAGAAUAGCAGGGGCCCUAGGACAGAGCCUUGGGGCACACCUGUGGUAACUGGAACUGUGGGAGAGGUGAAUGACUUUAAUUGUAUGAAUUGUGUGCAGCCUGAAAGAUAGGACUGGAACCAGCUGAGGGGUAAGUCAGGGAUGCCAAUGGUUGAAAGUCUUUCCAGAAGGAUGGGGUGUGAGAUUGUAUCAAAAGCAGCAGUCAGAUCGAGUAGAAGGAGGAUGGAGGCUAAACCAGAGUCAGCGGCGAGUAGAAGGUCGUUAGUAAUUUUAAGGAGGGCUGUUUCUGUACUGUGAAAUUGACGGAAGCCAGACUGGAGUUGUUCAUAUAAAUUAUUGGAAGAGAGGUGAGUGUGGAGUUGAGAGGUGACAGUUUUUUCAAGGAUUUUUGCAAUGAGUGGAACAUUAGAGAUUGGGCGGUAGUUAUUGAGAUUGGUGGGAUCAGAACCUGUUUUUUUCAGUGUGGGGGUGACCGCUGCGGUUUUGAGAGCAGGAGGGACAGUUCCAGUCCUAAGGGAGGUGUGAAUGAUGCUAGUAAUGAGGGGGGAUAAAGAGGGGAGAGUAGCCUUGACCAGAGCAGUGGGAAUUGGGUCAAGUUGGCAGGAGGUGGUUUUGGAUUUGUUAAUGAGUUUUUAGCACUUUUUACUCAGUAUAAACAUGUGGAGAUUCAUCUUUCAUGGAGAAACUGGAUCCAUGUUGGUCACAGAAAUCCUAGAGGAGUGAAACUCUACGUUUGGUCUGCAGGGAGAGGAUUCGUGGCUCCAGGGAGAAAACUGCUGCUAACCAGCUGAGUCGGCAUAAAAAUGCCUUGACUCGCCUCCUCCUUUGUCUUUUUUAAAAUAAUAUUAUUACUGUCACAUUCUAUUUAAAAGCCACUUUUCCGAGCUGUUAAGGUCACUGUAGAAGAAAAUAAAACCCACACUAAAAGUCAACAAACACACAGAAAGGACUAAACGGUGCACAGUAACCUGUUUCUUGAUGCUUUGCCACAAACAGGUUGUUCAGGUGAACGUGAGCACCGUCACCGUCACGUGAUGUCAGUCAUACAUCCAUCAGGAAUUUCUUCAUUGAGCUGCUAAAAGUUUUUCUGGACUUUUUUUCAUUAAUUCGUUCAAUUUCCUUUGAGUUUUCCUAAAACUACAACAAAUUCCGAUAUUACUAUGAUUUUAAAACGGUUUAAAAACUGUUUCAGAGUUUUGUUUGAGGAAAAAGUGGAACCAGUUAACUUUGAAUGAUUUAUUAGGGAUAUUUUUAUUGGUCUGACUGGAGGAGUCCAGAAGGAGGUUUUAUUCUUUUAUUAGCAUGCUUGUGUCAUUGGCAGAAACAUUCUCACCUGGUUUACCUCAUGUUUAAUAAUUAAUAGACUUACCUGUGUAUAUAUUAUCCUGUUUCUGAUGGUUUGAAGCGUUUUCACCCGCCAUCAGCAAUACUGAUACGACUGCUCUAUAAAAAGCUGGAAAGAGUGAAAUCCUGGGUCCGGCCCGUCCCUUUGCAAGAGUGGGAGGAGCACGCAAUUUAUAAAUACACUUGACAAAAAUUGAGUAUUUAUUUUGAAUGCAAACAAGUUAGAGGUGUAGCUUUGGGAAUACUUAAGGUUAUUAAUAUUUGUUCCCCUUUUUAGGAACAAAAUUAAAAAAGAAUCAAACAUAAAUGCAUGAAGGUUGUUGUUUUCUGGGGGGGAUUUAUGAUGCUUCAUGCCUUCUGGUGCUUUGCAUCGUGGACGUGUGUGAUGGAUCUUCAGGUCUGGUUGGCACCGACCUGAAUUCUGUCAGACCUCCAAAGUAAAAGCCCACAGCUUUUACUUUGGAGGUCUGACAGAAGGCUUGCUUGUUUAUUUCUUGAAGUGAUCUAAAAAUGCAGGCAGGAACUCACAGCAGAAAUGGGUGCUGUGGGGGGGCUCAUCGAUGCAGACAGAUGGGCCUUAAAAGCACUUCUUGGGGGGGGGGGGCAUGGGUUCUCUGAAACCUGCAGAAAGUCCUUCUUCCUGGCAGCUCCUGCCUCUCAUGGAGUAAAUAUUGGACUUUGAAUGAAUCUCCAGGAAAACGGCGUUUUUCAGAAAAGGCAGCUCUUCCACAACAAAAGCAGCAAAUGUAAAUCACACAGAAGUAACCAUGUGACAGGACAGAUAACAGAGCUGGAGGAGGCUGUUCAGGGGAAGGCGGCAGUUCUGCUCCUCUGCCUGUUGAAGGUCUGACGCCGAAAGCCACGGCGAGGCCUGGCUGCUGGAGGAAAGCAGCACCUGCCACCUGCAAACACGGUCAGCCGCUGAGCUUCCUGCAGUUCAGUGGCUCAGCAUAAUGGCAGGGAUGGGAAGCAGCUGCAGAGCUAACGAGUGGUACGUGCCGUCCACCCAUGUGAGGGAAUCCAUUCGUGCAGCUUUGAUGCUGCAUGGAGCAGCUCCCUCCUGCUGACCCCUGCAUGGCCUCAGCUUCUCUGAAUCCACAAAGAAAUCUUUGAUGUGUGGUGACAUCAUGUGGAAAUGACCCCACUGUAUGGUGGCCCUGAGGUACAAAUCACUCAAAACAAAAUCAUUUUAAAGCUCACAACGGCAAUUCAAAAAGCAAAACUGAUAAAAAAUCGUCAAGUUUUAGAAAUCAAAACAAAGAACCAAAAAUGAAAACACAAUUAUUUAAAAAAUGUAAACAAAAUAAAAAUGAGAUGUUUCAGAAAACAGAAGUAAUUUCCAGAAAUCCAAAAUGUUUCAAAAGGAACCAAAUAAAGAAACCAGAAAAGGUACUGUAUGUUCUACUGGACAUCCGGAUUGGACAAUGAUGUUUGUCCAUAUUUUCAACUGAAAGUAAGUAUAUGUAUGUGUUUCUCCUGCCAAUACCAGGAAGAAGUUCUUCUACAAACAUUUUUCUCCUCCUUUCAGAUGGUUCACCCGUGGAGGAAUGAAAGGUGACGUGAACCAAACGUGUGGACGCUGGAACCGUGACUGCAGGUGGCAGAGACACACGGAGCAGCCUCUGAAACCAGAGUCAUCCCUGAUGUUUCUGUUUCUCAUCUGACUCUCCUGGUUCUCCUGAUUUCCCUCCUGAAUCUUUACCCCUGCCAUGGACCCUUACCUGCCUCAGAGUUGCCGGUUCGGCUCCGGCGACCUCGUGACCUUGAUCACCUUUGGAUCAUUUUGAACACAUUUGUUUGUCUAGAUGGUGACAUGUUUGUGAGGUUUGCUGCUGUAUAUCUGACUUUCAGACGGUUCCUGUUCUGUGAUGCCUUUGCAUGUUUCUGGAUCUCUGUAGUAUUUUUUUUCCAACCUUCUGACCUCAUAGUGACGGUUUCAUAAAAACUGAAUUUCUGCAUUUUUCUCCAGAGCAGAAUCAGAAAAAAAACAGAAGUGUUGGUUUGUUAGAUUACUGUAGUUUUAAACAAUUACAUUAUUUUAAUCUUUGUAUUUUUAUUUUUUGAAUUUAUAAAAAUAUUUUUUGCUUUAUAUUUUAUUGAUAA